rnacentral:rRNA from 1 species
AGAGUUUGAUCCUGGCUCAGAUUGAACGCUGGCGGCAUGCUUUACACAUGCAAGUCGAACGGUAACAGGGAGCUUGCUCCGCUGACGAGUGGCGAACGGGUGAGUAAUGCAUCGGAACGUACCCAGUCGUGGGGGAUAACGUAGCGAAAGUUACGCUAAUACCGCAUACGUCCUGAGGGAGAAAGCGGGGGACCGUAAGGCCUCGCGCGAUUGGAGCGGCCGAUGUCGGAUUAGCUAGUUGGUAGGGUAAAGGCCUACCAAGGCGACGAUCCGUAGCGGGUCUGAGAGGAUGAUCCGCCACACUGGGACUGAGACACGGCCCAGACUCCUACGGGAGGCAGCAGUGGGGAAUUUUGGACAAUGGGCGAAAGCCUGAUCCAGCCAUGCCACGUGAGUGAAGAAGGCCUUCGGGUUGUAAAGCUCUUUCAGCCGGAAAGAAAUCGCGCAGGAUAAUACUCUGCGUGGAUGACGGUACCGGAAGAAGAAGCACCGGCUAACUACGUGCCAGCAGCCGCGGUAAUA